UCGGAACCGUAACCCGUUAAGAUGCUGUUUAUCAUUUUCCGCUACACCUGCCGUCUAUUUAUCUUUUGUCUUCUUAUAUUUAAAUCUAAUUUCAUCUCAUAAGACUUAUAUAUUAGCGCAUAAUGUAAGUGGAAUUAAAAUGAAUUCUAUUUAGCGAGCCCGAAAACUCAAACCAGCUGAAGAUGAAGGAGAAUUAAUGCACCUUGUUGAAGUGAGCGAAUUCUCUGAUCUUGGUAGAUAUGUUAUUUUGAAACCAUCUGUAAAGGCUAUCUAUGCUCUUUUACUUCAGCACCAUUUUGGAAUUGGCGAUGACGUAUUGUAAAUUACAAUGAAGAGGGAAACAGUGUUUUGAAAGCCUCUCAGCUGUUACAAACGCCAUCUUGGAUAUAGCUCUUCAUCUUCAAGAAAAUCUACUGUGAAGAAAUUGACUUCAAAAGAAACUUCUUCUCUAGGCCAAUUCAAUAUUUGAGAAGAACAGUUGGAUACUACACACACUAUGAAAUCGCGCACUAUGUUGGACAGCUGUAGUUCUAAGUUCGAUCCUUACAGUGAAUGUAUACAGUGUGGAUCAGUGUCAUCUUCAAGAAAAUCUACUAUGAAGAAAUUGAUUUCAAAAGAAACUUCUUCUCUGGGCCAAUUCAAUAUUUGAGAAGAACAGUUGGAUACUACACACACUAUGAAAUCGCGCACUAUGUUGGACAGCUGUAGUUCUAAGUUCGAUCCUUACAGUGAAUGUAUACAGUGAGGAUAUUCAGCAAGGGCCACUAUAAAUCUGCCAUAGCGAAAAGUCCUCAUGUGACUUUUCGUAUACACAUUAUUGCAUUUACUGAACAUUACAUAAAAGCUUUUAAUUACUGCUUGGAAAUAUAAUUUCAAGUAAAUAAAGACUUACAAUUGGAUGAAUAAACUCAAAUUGUAUCAGAUAUUUCUAAAGUCAUGAAAAAAAGUUAUUUUAUUUUAUAACAAUUAUGUACUUUUAAUUUGUGUUUUAUCAAAAGGUUAUCGAUGUUAAUUUUAAACAAUGAAGGUAAUGUAUUGCAUUUACAAUUGGAUGAAGUUUAUUUUAUAGUGUGUUUUGUUUUUCAA